GGUUGGUCUGAGUGCAGUGGUGUUUACAACUAAUCAAUCACAACUAGUUACAGAUCACUUUGUUCCUUCUCCACUCCCACUGCCUCAUUUGACCAGCCUAAA
rnacentral:Y_RNA from 1 species